rnacentral:lncRNA from 1 species
UUGUUUCUUUCGUUUCAGGAAUUUUCCGUGUUCACAGUCUCUAUUCAUCUAUUGAGUUUUAUAUGCUUCUACUAAUCAUUUUCCAAUUUAGUAUCCAUUUUUAAAACAUUGUAUCCUCAAUGUACUUCAGCUAAGUACACAAUCUGGUAUGUUAUUUUACUGUUCAUGUUUUCGUUUUGAUUAAAUGCACCAUAUCUUUCAAACACAGCUGUCCAUUAAAAACAACAUUGUCAUCACCAAAACCCACAUAUGAUAAUUCUGAGUUGUAGUUUUAGUGCAAUAACAUGGUUUUUUUCAAAUAUUCAUAUACACAAAAGACAGAUUCAAAGUCAUUGAUGGAAUCCUGCAGCUUUUUUCAGCAAUUACACUUUUUUAACAAGCAACAACACACAAAGUGUAAGGUAUUCUGAUCUUUUUUCUACCUCCACAUGUGCUUAUGUCGAUUCAAAAUCACAUCUCCACAAUAUUAUCAAAAUCUUAUGUGCACCCUUCGAUCUAGCAACAACGCGCGGGCAUCACCAUCUAGUCUAGACUAAGAAGAUGUGGUUAUUAUGUUAUGCAACACGUCGUCAUUUUAUGUGCAAACAUAUAAAUGGGCUUUAUUGAAAACCACAUAUGGGUUAUCUUCAUCAGCAACAUCACCAGCUAUUCAGCUUCAGCUUUCAUAGUAACGAAUCACAACCUUCAGCCACCACUCGGGGUGGUUCCUGUGGAGCCAAAAAUAAUCAAGAAGCAACACAUGGAUUUUUAGGUGAAGGGGACAAAAUUGCCCUUGAGACACACCGGGUUUCCUACACGCGAGCAGUGGAGAAUCAUCCAUCAACCGAGUUAAGAGUGUCCAAAAUAGGUAACAAGUUCAAAUUUAUCUCAUCAAUCUUUACUCCAUAUCCUCUACAAGGAAAUCAUUCCAUAACCUUCAAAACCUUCCAUAUAAAUUAAAUUAAUUAGGCUAAUUAAUGGAUUAAUUCCAAAUUAAUCCAUUAAUCACCAUUACACCCCAAAAAACAUCCAAGGGCCGACCAUGCUCUAUAAAUAGGACUCUAUUUUCUUUGAAAGACUAGUUCCAUACUCUUGCCAAACUCCAAAAAACUCUCCAAAUACUUUUCUCUCUAAAUUCUAACUUUGGCAUCGAAGGUUCUUCGGCCAAAGCCCCACCCAAUUCAUCGGGGGGCAUGUGAGGCUCUUCUCCUUGACCUAAGGUGUUAAUUGUUUUGUAGGUACAAUUUUGUCCAAGAAGAAGAAGGCGGAAAUUUGCAUCUACAAAUUGGUGCUUUCAUUGAGAGUUGAAAUUCACAAUCGUAGAAGACUUUCGAAUAAAAAGGUUUUUCUCAAUUUUCUAGUCCACUUGUAUUUUUCAUACGUUUUUAUUAUUAGAAUUUUUUAUUUGCAAAGAUUCUUUGAUAAAAUGAAAAAGAGAAAUACAAUGGCUAGAAAUUUAGAAAACUCCAUGAGUGAAAAUUCCAAUAUUCAAGAAAUGGGACCGCGGCGAUCCACGAGACUAAAUGUGAUCCUAAGGGGAGCGGCACCACCACCAUGAGGUUCCACCGCAAUGGCCACUAUGGUGGCCACCCACUGCGAGGUCUAUGACACCACUAC